rnacentral:rRNA from 1 species
ACAUGCAAGUCAGGGGCAGCACAAGGAGCAAUCUGAGGUGGCGACCGGCGCACGGGUGAGUAACACGUAUGCAACCUGCCUGUAAGCGGGGAAUAACCCGUUGAAAGACGGACUAAUACCGCGAUAAUACUAAAUUACUGCAUGGUAAUUUAUUUAAACAUUUAUGGCUUACAGAUGGGCAUGCGCAUGAUUAGCUAGUUGGAGAGGUAACGGCUCCCCAAGGCAACGAUCAUUAGGGGUUCUGAGAGGAAGGUCCCCCACACUGGUACUGAGACACGGACCAGACUCCUACGGGAGGCAGCAGUGAGGAAUAUUGGUCAAUGGACGAGAGUCUGAACCAGCCAAGUCGCGUGCAGGAAGAAUGUCCCUAUGGAUUGUAAACUGCUUUUGCAGGGGAAUAAAGUGCAUCACGUGUGAUGUUUUGUAUGUACUCUGCGAAUAAGGAUCGGCUAACUCCGUGCCAGCCGCGGC